rnacentral:lncRNA from 1 species
CUUUCCCAAGCUUUCCCACAAUUUCCCACCUUCUCACAUCCUCUCCCAUUUUCCCCCUCCAUCUCCCUUGCUUCCAAGGAAUUUUCCAUCUUUUGCCAACCUUUCCCAUCUUUUGAAUUUUUUCCUUGCUUUUCCUCUGCAUUCCAGCUUUUUUCCACCUUUUCAUAUGCUUUCCAAUCUUUUCCCAAAAUUCCCCAUUUUCCCACGUCUUCCCAUUUUUUUCCCUCCUUAUCCCUUGCUUUCCUGUCAUUUCCCAUCAUUUCCGAAUAUUUCCCUUGCUUUCCCAUCUUUUCCCAAAACUUCACACCUUUUCCCAUGAUUUCCUGGUUUUUUUCCUCCUUCUGCCUCUUUGCCAUCUUUUCCUGUAAUUUCCCAGCUUUUCCCAAGCUUUCCAUUUUUUUCACCCCUUCUCUUUCCCAUCUUUACCCAUUUUUCCCACCUUUUUACAUGCUGUCCCAUUUUUUCCCUCCUCCUCCCUUUCUUUCCCAGUUUUUCCCAUGCUUUCCUUCCUUUUCCCAUGCUUUCCCCUUUAUUCCCUCCUUAUCCUUUGUUUUCCCACCUUUUCCAGUUUUUUUUCCAUCUCUUUCUAAGUUUUCCCAUUUUUUUUCUUUCAUACUCCCAUGCUUUCCUGUCAUUUCCUAUCUUUUCCCAACUUUUCCCCUACUUUCCCAUCUAUGCCCAGCUUUUUUCAUGCUUUCCCAUUUUUUCCCUCCUUCCCCUUUGCUUUCUGGACUUUUCCCAUCUUUUCCUACAUUUUCCUAUGCUUUCCCAUUUUUUUCCCUCCUUCUCCCUUGCCCUCCCAUCUAUUCUGAAAAUUUCCCACCUUCUCCCAUGCUUUCUCAUUUAUUCUCUCCCUAUCCCUUGUUUUCUGGUAAAACUAUAAACCUAACCCUAACCCUUUGGGAAUACAAGAAAGGCUAUUCAGUGCAGAAGCUGCGGAGCAAGAUAAACAGCAUGGAAAGCAAGGCUGAGAACCAAGGACAUCUCCAGAAGAAGAGAAAAGCAAAGUUGAGUAAGCUGCAUGAUGAUGGCCCUGAUUGGAGGAAGAGGGCAUGGCUAGGAAUGACUCAUGGCUCUGAUUGGAUAAGCACCUGCAUGCACGGUUAAGGAGUGUUUGUGGAAUGUUUUGUAGACAUGUAAAGGCGGGUGGGAAAGUUAAAAGAGAAAAUUUGUGAAAGAAUAUAAGGGAUGUUAGAACCUGUAAUAAACAAAGUGGAUCGUUCA